rnacentral:tRNA from 1 species
GCGUCCUUAGCUCAAAUGGAUAGAGCAGGAAUCUUCUAAAUUUCAGGUUGUCGGAUCGUACCCGACAGGACGCA